UGCUUUAUUUAAUUCUUUUUCUUCUGAAAUCUUUCUCAUAAUAUGAAAUACAAAUAUAUAAUAUACAUUUGUCUAAUUUGUCUUAUCACCAUUGAUGUGCACCAAUAUUACUCAGGAGCCUCCGUAUCAAGCAAUUCAGCCAACAGAAUUAAUCCGAUAUGUCUAUUAACGAAAGUUCCAGGGCCUGGUUUACUUAGCUUAAGAAGAUGGUAUUAUAGUAAAGAUGAUAAAAAGUGUCUUCCCUUUACUUACGGUGGUCGCAGAGGAAGUAAAAAUAACUAUUUUUCCUUGAAAAUUUGUCAAAAAGUCUGUCGGAAAUCUUCAUAAUGUUCACGAUUUUUCCAAUUUUUUUU